UUUUACUUUAAAUGAAGGUGUUAGCAGAGACAAGGAGACUCUUCAACCAACGGUAUAUUUGAACAAGUUACCUAAAAAGUUUUCCGAAGGAACUCGAGUGUUCGUUGUAGAUCCUAUGUUAGCAACAGCUGUAUGAUAAUCAAAUUAAAGACCAUUAUGCUGAAUUUGAGAAGAUAAACACCGAAAUGUUAGCGGUUUUCAUGGACAGUGUGGUAUGAAUCUUGAACUUUAAGGGGGCUAUUGGUUUGUAACUUAGAAUCACUAUGCGUAUGGGUUUACAUAUAAUAGAAUAAUAAUAAUGGGAAUAGUUUUU